rnacentral:rRNA from 1 species
CCUACGGGAGGCAGCAGUGGGGAAUAUUGCACAAUGGGCGCAAGCCUGAUGCAGCCAUGCCGCGUGUGUGAAGAAGGCCUUCGGGUUGUAAAGCACUUUCAGCGGGGAGGAAGGCGUUAAGGUUAAUAACCUUGGCGAUUGACGUUACCCGCAGAAGAAGCACCGGCUAACUCCGUGCCAGCAGCCGCGGUAAUACGGAGGGUGCAAGCGUUAAUCGGAAUUACUGGGCGUAAAGCGCACGCAGGCGGUCUGUCAAGUCGGAUGUGAAAUCCCCGGGCUCAACCUGGGAACUGCAUUCGAAACUGGCAGGCUAGAGUCCUGUAGAGGGGGGUAGAAUUCCAGGUGUAGCGGUGAAAUGCGUAGAGAUCUGGAGGAAUACCGGUGGCGAAGGCGGCCCCCUGGACAAAGACUGACGCUCAGGUGCGAAAGCGUGGGGAGCAAACAGGAUUAGAUACCCGGGUAGUC